AUAAAGGUCAUGUUAGAAACUGGAGUCAGUAAGAAAUGUUGCAUGGAUAGUUUUAUUCAAUAGUCCUAUUGUAGCAAUUUUAUCAAAGUAUUGUAUUAAGAGAAAAGCGUCUGACUUAUCCUGAAUUGUCCUAUAUGGUAAUAACAUAUUUAGGAUUGAGGAAUAAACACCCGGACAGAGGAUCUGUUAUUGAGCUCUUGGAGAAGAAUGCUCUUAAGGCUGCAUUCGGCCCAGGCAACAAAGAUGAGAUGGAGGACUGCUACCCAAUCCUCAUCUCAUUCAUGCGCAAUCUUACUGAUGAGCAAUGGCAAGUGAUCUAUAAAGGAUUUAAAAACCUGUAAGUUUCUCCAUCAGCCUUUGACCUUUGAUUUGGGAAUGUUAUGUUGAAUCGAGAGAGGAAUUAACCAUAGUUCUAUUCUGCUAUUACGUUCAUUAAUCUGUCAUACUUCAUCCAACUUUGAAUUCAGUCACAGAUAAGGAAAACGAUGUUGGUGAAAUGCAUUCUGUUCAAUCUAGAAUACUUUACAUCAGAGUUUCAUUGCCAAACCUGCUGUGUUCUGUUUUGUUUGUGCAAUGCAGAUGACAAAGGAACAGCUUGCAAAAUUGUGCAAGACCAUUGUCAACUUCAUUGCACAGACCACCCUGCAGAUCCUGCUGCCGGCCCUGGCCCGCAUUCUAGGGGUGACGGGCUUUUAUGACAACGCUGACUCACUCAAGAGGGGUGGCAGUGCAAGAUCCUUCACUGCCUUUGAGCAGAAAAGACUGGAGCUCAUCCAGGAAGUUAAAUAUUUGGCGAAGUAACUGUGGCGGCAGGGCUCUCCGACCAAGGUCUAGCACACCCUCUUCCAAGAGGUACUGUAUGUUCCCCAUAAUGUGUGUGUGUGUGUGUGUGCAGUUAUUCCUAACCCUCAAACUGAUGAACAAUAAUUUCCCCAUUUCAAUAUUUUCCAGCUUUCUAACAGGUGUGUUUUGCAAUAUCUAAUGCACACAUAUAAAUUACAUUUAGAAUACUCAAUUAUAAUGCUUGUUAGAUUUGUUAGUACUAAGAUAUCGAUUUUCCAACUUCAGACAGCAAUUAACAUGCUUUGCUUGUUCAUUUUAAAGUUCCCAGAACUCACUGAAAGUCCACCUGGGAAUGCCAGAGGACAGUAUCAUCAGCAGUGUCCAGGAGCAACUGUCAAAAUCUGACCAAAUGGUGGCUGCAGGACAGCUUUCACAAAUAGAUAAAGUGGUUGGAACUAUGCUGGAGAACAUUGAGAAGAUAAGCAGCGAAUGUGGCGAGGAAUUGGUCUAUCAAGAGUCACUGCGGUCUUCCUCCUCGUUGUCAUUCUCAACUGCCAAAUCACAGAAGACAGAGUGGGAAUUUGCACUCCCAUUCCUUCUGAGUUACCCGAGAGUACUGCUCAGCCCAUUGUAAGAUGCUCAGUCAUUGACAUGAGCGAAUCUACUAAGCCAAAAACAAUGGUGUGUGAUGCCAGAACAAGCAUGUUUGCCAUAGCCGAUACCAUCAUGAAGAAGGUAUAUCCAGAGGCAGAAGGGCAGGUUACAUCUCACCCUGAUCUAACAGAUCCAAUAGCUAGACUGGAGGAGCUCAUAUCUCAGGGUAGGAUUGGUGCUCUCUCCCGUGAUCUCAGUCACCAAGUGAACCGCAUAAUUUCCGAUAGCAACUUGACCCCUCUGGGACUGACAGUGGCGGCUGGAAAGAGUGCAUCUGAUACCAUCCUUUCGAAGCUGAAGAGGAAUGACAAGGUGGGGAAGCCCACAACUUACGAGCUGGUUCAGCUGUUUGUAGAGGAGUCUGUUAAGUGCCUCCUGCUUCCUAGUUUUGUGCCCUAUUCAACUUCAAUGAGUUUGGCUCAGGGGGCCAAGGUGUUGGCUAGAGUGUCUGAAGAUAGAAUUUCAUGCUCUUCUUCUUCUUCAUCAGUAUUUAGUGACAGUCAGUCUCUUUACCAAAGUUAUGGUAAGCCAGGUCAUGUACUCUGUGGAUUCUGAUGCAGAAAGUAGAGGAUCCUCUCCAACUGAAUCUCUCCAAACAUCUGAACCCACUAUAUCUGAUGUAGGCAAUCUAUUGAGUGGCAAGUCCUCCCCUCGGCUGUCUCCUUCUUGCACCAUUAUGGCAAAAAGCGAGACCUCCAAUGCAGCACAAAUCUUGAAGGCCAACAUUGAUGGAGAGGAAGUGGAUACCACCAGUCAUUCUGGUGUAGCUCAAAACAUUGUCAGGGACGAUAUGUCAACCAGCCCAGACAUGGUCAAAGAUGUCACACUUCCAACCCCAUCCUCUGAUAACUUGGGCAGUGAUGAUGACGUCACCGGCCUCAUCAGCAUGUUAGUAAUGAGAAUUCUAACAGAAAUCCAAACCCCAGCAGAAGAUUACCCAGUUGACGUCACACGCAAGUCACAAGACCUGAUCCCUAAAGUUAUGGAGGUCUUCUGUGCAUGGUCAGGCUGCUCUGAGACACAAGCCUAUCCAGAGAACUUGAGGAUUCAUAAAGUCUACAGAGUCGUCUAUAAAAAUCUGUUGGAGGAGUUUGGCUCUGAGAAAAUCCUCCAACAGGCCGUGUCGACUCAGGACUCUUCAUUUGAUAGGAUUCUUGUCAAGUCUUUGAGUGAAGCGCUUCUCCACAGAUGUAAUGAGGCAUUGAGGGCAGCCUCAAGAACAUCAGUCAAAACCACCGGGCCUAAGGCUCUUCCACUGGCUGAGGAUGUGAGGGCUAGCAGCGGGAAACUAUCUUUUCUACAAAGGCUGGUCAGGCUGACAAGCAACUUAAAGGUACAGCAAACGUAUUUAAAUGAACAGUUGUGAGUAAACAAUGCUAUUCAGUGUAAAAAUAUAAAACCAUCCGUUCAUUCCAAAACCAAUCAUAAAUGUUGUUGUGCUGGUGUGGUAGGUGUGAUUGUUAUCAUCAUGAGGUUGGUCAGCUGUGACAUUUUUUAAAACAUGUUUUUCUCUUUAAAUACUUAGCUAUUCAAGAAGGGGAACAAGAAGGAUUCCCACCGCUCUGAAUCAGAACAAGUACAGACCACUGCUGAAGAUGGCAUGCUGCCCAGCAUAGUGCCACAUGCUGCCAUGUCUGCACUGCCAAAGGAUCUCCCCGCCAGCUCCCAACAGGAGACGCCUCACAAACGUCCACUUCUCGUCAGGAUGUUUUCUGCCAUCUCCAAAGGCCUGUUCAAGCCCUUCAAACAGUCCUUAAAGACCAAGUAACUUCAGACAAUUUAUUAAACGUCAUUCAUUGCAUUAAA